CGCUUAGAUGCAUCAUGGAAAAUCGCGGAACUGAAUAUGGAAGAAAGGUUUCUUUGGAAAUCGCGGCACCACAUUUAAUAAAGUGACUGUCGAAUGGCCAGUAUCUGCUUUGACGAGUCGUUCAAAUGCGGUUCAUUAUGGUAAUGAUCGACAUAUAUUUUACUGGAUCUGUGGAUCUAUUUUCUGCUGGCACCUACCGCCAUAGAGUUUUGCAGUUUGCAACCCUCGAUUUGCGCUCGGAUGCCAAGAGGCAUUACGAAAUCAUGGUGAUGAUGACGGUGAUUAUUGCUAAACGAUGAUCGUAUGUAAACAAAAAAGGCAAAAAUCAGGAUCAUCAUUCGUAGGGAAUUGGAUUUUUAGUAACACAUUUUUACAGAGGCAAUGGCUACUGUUUGAAAUGCGAAAGUUUACAAUAGAGGACUCUCGGAAGAGGUACCAAGAUACCAAAAUUAAAAUAAUCGUUGUCCUUUUGAUCAACUGCGACAAGUUUGAAUACUUCCAAUCAGCUUCGCAUACUUGCAGAACCAUUUCCGCACUCUGGACAUCCUGUUCAGCUACGGCGGAAAAAUAUGAUACAGUGAUGGUGUAGGUUGGCGUCAAGGCAUUUACGCUGUUCUGUACCUUGUUAAAUCUCUCAUUAUAAUAGGAACCUUAAUUCCUAUUUGGCAGGCAUAUCAAAUGGAACCUGCCUGAACAAAUAUGGAACUCAAUAAUAGUACUUUCGUGAGCGAGCUUCUCAACUCUCGUGAGGUGCCUUUCAUGAAUCAUCAUUUCGAAAGACUCGCCUUCUGUAAUCGUUUUUUUUUUUAUGUAUAAACGCGAAUAAAACUACUCGUUUAACAAUA